rnacentral:rRNA from 1 species
AGAGUUUGAUUCUGGCUCAGAACAAACGCUGGCGGCGUGCAUAAUACAUGCAAGUCAAACGGGGAAAGGCUUCGGCUGAGUACUAGUGGCGCACGGGUGAGUAACGCGUGGGUAAUCUGCCUUAAAGUGGGGGAUAACCUUCCGAAAGGAAGGCUAAUACCGCAUAAGACCACGACUUCUGAGGAGGUUGAGGUAAAAGGUUUUUCGCUUUAAGAUGAGCCCGCGUGAGAUUAGCUAGUUGGUAAGGUAAUGGCUUACCAAGGCUUUGAUCUCUAGCUGGUCUGAGAGGAUGAUCAGCCACACUGGAACUGAGACACGGUCCAGACUCCUACGGGAGGCAGCAGUAGGGAAUAUUGCGCAAUGGGGGAAACCCUGACGCAGCGACGCCGCGUGAGUGAUGAAGGCCUUCGGGUCGUAAAGCUCUGUCGCAUGGGAAUAACACAAUGAAGGUACCAUGUAAGAAAGGACCGGCUAACUUCGUGCCAGCAGCCGCGGUAAGACGAGGGAUCCUAGCGUUGUUCGGAAUCAUUGGGCGUAAAGCGGGUGUAGGUUGCUUUUUAAGUCAAAUGUGAAAUCCUAGGGCUCAACCCUAGAAGUGCAUCUGAUACUAUCAAGCUUGAGUGUGGAAGAGGCUAUUAGAAUUCCUGGUGUAGUGGUGAAAUACGUAGAUAUCAGGAGGAAUACCAGCUGCGAAGGCGGAUAGCUGGUCCAACACUGACACUAAGACCCGAAAGCGUGGGGAUCAAACAGGAUUAGAUACCCUGGUAGUCCACGCCGUAAACGAUGGAUACUUGUUGUUGGAGGUAUUGACCCCUUCAGUGACGAAGCUAACGCGUUAAGUAUCCCGCCUGGGGAGUACGGUCGCAAGAUUAAAACUCAAAGAAAUUGACGGGGGCCCGCACAAGCGGUGGAGCAUGUGGUUUAAUUCGAUGCAAC